GGGCGAUUAGCUCAGUGGGAGAGCACUGCCUUCACACGGCAGGGGUCGCUGGUUCGAACCCAGCAUCGCCCACCA
rnacentral:tRNA from 4 species